rnacentral:rRNA from 1 species
CAAGCCCUCCCUCUAGCCCAACUAAAUCACACCCACUAUCAUAAAAAUCCACUACCCCACCCAACUAAAACAUUCUACACUCACCCUAGUAUAGGCGAUAGAAAAGACUCUCCAGGCGCAAUAGAGAUUAACCGUACCGUAAGGGAAAGAUGAAAUAACAAUGAAAAAUUACAAGCAAAAAAUAGUAAAGACUAACCCUUGUACCUCUUGCAUCAUGAUUUAGCAAGAACAACCAAGCAAAGCGAACUAAAGUUUGCCCCCCCGAAACCCAAGCGAGCUACUUGCGAGCAGCUAAAAUUGAGCGAACCCGUCUCUGUCGCAAAAGAGUGGGAUGACCCGCUAGUAGUGGUGAAAAGCCAACCGAGCUGGGUGAUAGCUGGUUACCUGCCAAAUGAAUCUAAGUUCCCCCUUAACUCAUUCCCCAAGGAUACCUACCCAACCCCACACGUUAGAGUUAAGAGCAACUCGAUGGGGGUACAGCUCCAUCGAAAAAGAACACAACCUCCUCCAGCGGAUAAAGCUCCCCCUACUCCCACCUGUAGGCCUUCAAGCAGCCACCAACAAAGAAUGCGUCAAAGCUCUUCCAUUAAAAAUCUUAAAUCUCAUCUGACUCCCUCACUCAAAGCAGGUCAACCUAUGACAAUAGAAGAAUUAAUGCUAAAAUAAGUAACUUGGGAUCAUCCUCCAGACAGCGUAAACUUACAUCAACAUAUUAUUAACAGAGACCAACUUAUACUCACACUUUAACAAGACCACGUAUUCCAACACAACCUGUUAGACCAACUCAGGAACGCUUACAUAGAUGAUUAAAACCUGCAGAAGGAACUCGGCAAACCAAAGACCCGACUGUUUCCCAAAAACAUAGCCUUCAGCAAACAACAAGUAUUGAAGGUGAUGCCUGCCCAGUGACCCACAUGUUUAACGGCCGCGGUAUCCUAACCGUGCGAAGGUAGCGCAAUCAAUUGUCUCAUAAAUCGAGACUUGUAUGAAUGGCUAAACGAGGUCUUAGCUGUCUCCUGCAGAUAAUCAGUGAAAUUAGUAUUCCCGUGCAAAAACGAGAAUGUGACCAUAAGACGAGAAGACCCUGUGGAACUUUAAAAUCACGACCACCUUCACACCAACACAACCCAUCGGAUCCACCCACAAAGCACUUGGUCGACAUUUUUCGGUUGGGGCGACCCUGGAGAAAAACAAAUCCUCCAAACCCAUAGACCACACCUCUUCACCAAGAUCCACCACUCAAAGUGCUAAUAGUAAUCUAGACCCAAUACAAUUGACCAAUGGACCAAGCUACCCCAGGGAUAACAGCGCAAUCUCCUCCAAGAGCCCAUAUCGACAAGGAGGUUUACGACCUCGAUGUUGGAUCAGGACAACCUAAUGGUGCAGCCGCUAUUAAGGGUUCGUUUGUUCAACGAUUAACAGUCCUACGUGAUCUGAGUUCAGACCGGAGCAAUCCAGGUCGGUUUCUAUCUAUGAACAUACUCCUCCUAGUACGAAAGGACCGGAGAAGUGGAGCCAAUACCACCAAGCACGCCCCAGCCUUCCAAGCAAUGAACUCAACUCAACUUGCCAAGAAGCCCCCCAUACUCACACCUAACUCCUAGAAAAGGAGACAG